ensembl:piRNA 21ur-4993 ncRNA
UCAACAAAAAAAAUCAACAAA